UUCAUGGAGAGUUUGAUCCUGGCUCAGGACGAACGCUGGCGGCGUGCCUAAUACAUGCAAGUCGAGCGAACCGACGGGAGCUUGCUCCCUUAGGUUAGCGGCGGACGGGUGAGUAACACGUGGGUAACCUGCCUGUAAGACUGGGAUAACUCCGGGAAACCGGGGCUAAUACCGGAUGCUUGAUUGAACCGCAUGGUUCAAUUAUAAAAGGUGGCUUUUAGCUACCACUUACAGAUGGACCCGCGGCGCAUU
rnacentral:rRNA from 1 species